AUGGUGAAAUAAUAAUAAGGUGUUGUCACUUAGGGGGUGGUUGUUGUAGUUUUGGCAAUUUCGGCAUACCAGCGUUACAGUAAUGCCUACUCUAUUUAUUCCAAUUUCCUUUCUGGGCAAAAUAGAACAAAAAAUGUAGCAGACAACAAUCUUGUGAAAAAAGUAAGCGUAGGUAUCACUAUUUCUUUGAGUCUCCUUUUCUCUGACUUUUCGUUUCAAAUUUAUUGGAAAAUCUGAGCGAUAGUUUGCAAUAAUUGUGAUUUUGUUGAGCUAUUAUCCCGCAAAAAGCAGCGAUUUAUUCAAGAUAAUUCCAGGUUUUUAGAACAGCACCUUUUAAGUUUUAGAGCUGGCUACAGUUGUUUAUUGGGGCAGUGUCUCAUCAGCGGCGCUACCAACAGCGG